GGGGAAUUUUGGACAAUGGGCGCAAGCCUGAUCCAGCAAUGCCGCGUGUGUGAAGAAGGCCUUCGGGUUGUAAAGCACUUUUGUCCGGAAAGAAAUCCGUCUGGCUAAUACCCGGACGGGAUGACGGUACCGGAAGAAUAAGCACCGGCUAACUACGUGCCAGCAGCCGCGGUAAUACGUAGGGUGCGAGCGUUAAUCGGAAUUACUGGGCGUAAAGCGUGCGCAGGCGGCUUUGUAAGACAGAUGUGAAAUCCCCGGGCUCAACCUGGGAACUGCAUUUGUGACUGCAAGGCUAGAGUGCGUCAGAGGGAAGUGGAAUUCCGCGUGUAGCAGUGAAAUGCGUAGAGAUGCGGAGGAACACCGAUGGCGAAGGCAGCCUCCUGGGAUGACACUGACGCUCAUGCACGAAAGCGUGGGGAGCAAACA
rnacentral:rRNA from 1 species